rnacentral:rRNA from 1 species
AGCCUAGCGCUAAGGCUUAAUGUGGUUGUCGCAAGGCAAUCGUAUAACAAACAUUAAGCGGUGCAGCGUUACAAACCUUGGUGUUUAGUAGUGUCAAUGUAGUCUAUGGUUCGCCAUAGACUGCUUUCGGCCUAGCGUACAAGUCCCAUUGACUUGGGCUUAUUCUUAAUUGAGAUGUCUACGGGUUUGGGGCAACUUGGAUCCGUGGAUGAGCCAUAGAGGGUGAAAGUCCCUUAAUGCGCAGGUAUUGAUGCUACGAACCGGGGCAGUGGCGUCGGGUUAAACCGGCGUUGCGAUUUGUUAGAGUCGGGUUGCUUGAGAGUGCAACCUAAAGAGCGAGGUAAACUGCUCGUAAGGCUAUUUAAAUACGGCUACGACACCGAUAGCAAACAAGUACCGUGAGGGAAAGUUGCAAAGUACUUUGAAGAGAGAGUUAAACAGGGCGUGAAACCGCUAGCUGGAAAACGAGUGGAGCCACGAAGUCGUUUCGUAGAAUACGAGGCGCAAAUUCAGCUAAGAUCAGCAAUGGUUUUAGCGUAUUUUUGCUUGUCUCGCUACUGUAAGCGUACACUGCAACCAAUUAGACGGCUAAUCGUGGAUACAGUUUGCGCGUUGACAGGGAAACUUGUUGCGCGCAAGCGAAACAAUUUGUGCACUUUACCGUAGGUAGUCUGAUAUAAUUUCUUGUAGAUUAUAUUGGGCGUAUGACGGUGAAUGCGUGAACUACGAUUAGGUACUGAUUGGCAAAAUGAAAAUCGAAUCGCAAGAUUCGUGUACUCAUAGAAAGCGUCUGGCCUCGUAUUUGGGUACAAUUGUACGCUGCUAGUAUCUCAAGCUUAGUAUUUUGAAUUCAGGCACGUAUAUUGUCGAUGGGCUUGCUCGUCGAUAUAUGCGCUGUUUCCUGUCUAAUCGGGUAUUAACUUUGCUGGCAGUUUGAUGCAAUUGCUACGAUAGCAUCGAAUGCGAGAGUCAGUCUGCAAGUAUUGGCAGUGAGUAGGUCGGCUUUCCACACGACCCGUCUUGAAACACGGACCAAGGAGUCUAGUUAAGUAUCGAGUCGAUCGGUCUUGAUUAGGCCAGACAUCGGAAACUCUUCGGAGUGUUUCGAAUAACCAACAAUGACGGCAAAGUGAAAUCAAAUCAUAUGUGAUCUGAGGUCUAUUACAAUGGCCUACAGCGCAACAUAUGCCCACUCGUAUGGUUAUACGCGCAAGUGUUAGCCGGGUGGAGCAAAGAGAUACUUGACUGGUACCCGAAAGAUGGUGAACUAUUCCUGGCCAGAUUGAAGCCAGAGGAAACUCUGGUGGAGGAUUGUAGCGAUUCUGACGUGCAAAUCGAUCGUCAGAGCUGGGUAUAGGGGCGAAAGACUAAUCGAACCAUCUAGUAGCUGGUUCCCUCCGAAGUUUCCCUCAGGAUAGCAAGCACUCGCAGAAAUGUGAAUCAGUUUCAUCUGGUAAAGCGAAUGAUUAGAGGCCUUGGGAGCGAAACGCUCUCAACCUAUUCUCAAACUUUAAAUGGGUGAGAUGUACGACGUACUUAACUGACGCCGUAUUCACACAGAAUGUAUUGAGUGCUUAGCGGGCCAUUUUUGGUAAGCAGAACUGGCGAUGCGGGAUGAACCGAAAGUGAAGUUAAGGUUGCCGAUAAUGGUGCUAACAAUUUGUGCACUAGCUACACUCAUGAGAUCCCAUGAAAGGUGUAAGUUGCUAAAGACAGCAAGGACGUGGCCAUGGAAGUCGGAAACAUCUAAGGAGUGUGUAACAACUCACUUGCCGAAGCAACUUGCCCUGAAAAUGGAAGCAGCUCGAGUGUUGAACCUAUACUUCACCGUUGAAUUAUCGUUGCACACUAAAAUGCGAUUAGUUAUGAUUCAACGUGUAGGAGGGUUGUGUUGGUAGCGUUGAAGGCUAUGAGGGAGUGAUCCUGGCUGGAGCUGCCAAUAGUACAGAUCUUGGUGGUAGUAGCAAAUACUCAAGUGAGACCCUUGAGGGCCAAUGUGGAGAAGGGUUCCAUGCUAACAGCAAUUGGACAUGGGUCAGUCGGUCCUAAGAGAAUGGCGAAAGCUAUUUCUGAAUCAAAGGCAGUGUAAACCAAAUAUAACAAAAUAUAAAUAUACACAUUCAAACACGUGUUGGAUAGAUACAUACAUGUCUAUUUGUUUUAUUUCAGUGUGUGAGUGUGUAUGUGUGUGCAUACGUUUGUAUGUGCGCGUAUGUUGUGUGAAAAACUAACAGACAUCUAUUGCAAAAUACACACGCAUUUUAAUAACAACAAAUGCUGUGCAAAAACUUUUCGCGGGUAUAAACGUCUAGUCUGCAUACACAAACAAUCCAGAUAAGAUAUUUCUGAAGCUGUAUGUCGGAUGUUCGAAAACGUUGUACUGUCGGUGAUAACACAUGCUUUUCAAUUUAAAGUGUGUGAAUGCAACAGAUAUUGUCGUAAAUGUGUAUAAUACUUACAUAAUAAAAGUGUAGUAUAUCACACCCUCGCACACAGAGUA